AACAACAAUAACUCUGGCUGGAACGGGAAAGCUGAGAAGUGAAAUGAAAUAUUGAUUUAUAUGGAAGAGAACGGAGGAUACUCUCUCAGAACAUCCGUUGAUUAGAAAACUUAACACAAAAAAAAAAUGAAAUUUGGGCUCAUGAGAACUGCUGAUAAGCUGGCACAGAUACUCUAUGCAAAAAAGUUAACGUUCCGCUAUUUAAAUAACAGCAUAGUUUCAUUACGAAUCUGUGAGAACUGGUUGUGCUCUGUUUGAAAGAUGGAUGAUGCAUGCCACCGAAAUGUCCUGAAAUUAAAAUAUCAUAGAACACUGGUCUGAGCUGAAAACUAAAAUAAAAAAUUCAACUUUAAAUCUCUUAAAUGAUUGAUGCCAUGAAUUACAGCAGAGUUUAACGCAUUCCUUUCUUGUUUGAUACGACAUCAGUUAUCUUUCAGGUAACACUUAAUUUAAGCUGUUACGUAUGAUCCUUGCCAUUAUACGUUUGAUGUUUACCCCACAUGACUUCUCAUCAUAUUUCAUACAACAGGGUAUUUCAGGUGUGCCAAAGAUUAAAGACAAUUACAACCCAGCAACAUGGAUGCUUGAAGUUACGACAACAACGAUGGAGAUGAAACUUGGCGUAGACUUUUCACAGCUCUACAAAGAAUCGUCCAUAUACAAGUUAGAAAAAAAUUCUGGUCCAUUUAUACAAGCCACUUAUUCCGUAUGAGCUUGACACGAUAAAAUCAAAUAGUUUGUCUAAUAAAGUUCAUGCUAACGGCAAUAAACCAUAUGAGUCAAAAAGCCUAGAGACCAAGCUACCAAAACUUGGUCACAUUAGGAUGGCAAUAAUGGAAAAGUUGGACCCUUCAAGGAUCGGUUGAACUCAAACUAAGACUGAUCCUCUGCCAGAGCUACUUCCAAUAAGUCGAAAGUCUAGGUGUUCCCUUCUUUGUUGAUAUUAUUUCUUUGGAUGCUGAUGCUAAGAGCAGUGGAAGCUAAAGCUUAGGAAUGGAAGGGAACCUGCUACCUUGAAUCAAUCAUUUUGCCGUUCACAUGAUGUUUAUAAAGAGAUCAUUGAUAGAAAGGGCAUUUAGGUCAGUCUACAGAUACGGUGUUAGCUGACAGCUGUCCUGGAAUAAUUUACUCCGAAGAUCUGUUAGAUAUGAAACCUCGUUGUGCCAAUUAUAAAAAAUAUGCUCUAGUUGAAUUACGUGCUACUAUUUUUGUUAUGCAAAGGCAAGUUCAGCAGCAAUCUGUUGACAGCUACAAUAUGUAAGUACCGUUUGUUUUGUGCAGGAACAACUUAGACCUUGUUCAGCAACAUAGCACACCUCCAGAGGGCUCUAAGGAACUGCACUUCCCAACAAUUUUCUCACAAAAGUUC
rnacentral:lncRNA from 1 species